rnacentral:rRNA from 1 species
GACGAACGCUGGCGGCGUGCCUAAUACAUGCAAGUCGAACGCAGUGGGGACGGGUGAGUAACACGUGGGUAACCUCCCAUCAGAGGGGGUAACACUUGGAAACAGGUGCUAAACCGAUACUGAUGGAUGGACCCGCGGUGCAUUAGCUAGUUGGUGAGGUAAAGGACCACCAAGGCAACGAUGCAUAGCCGACCUGGGAGGGAGAUCGGCCCAACUGGGACGGGGAAAACGCCCAGACUUCUUCGGGCGGCAGCAGUAGGGAAUCUUCGGCAAUGGGCGAAAGGCUGACCGAGCAACGCCGCGGGAGGGGAGAAGGUUUUUGGAUCGUAAAGCUCUGUUGUUAGAGAAGCGGUAACUAACCAGAAAGGGACGGCUAACUACGUGCCAGCCGCCGCGGUAAUAC